GAUGAACGCUGGCGGCGUGCUUAACACAUGCAAGUCGAACGGUGAACGAGGGAGCUUGCUCCCUCCGGAUCAGUGGCGAACGGGUGAGUAACACGUGAGCAAUCUGCCCUGGACUCUGGGAUAAGCGUUGGAAACGACGUCUAAUACCGGAUACGAGGCGUGGGGGCAUCCCCAACGCCUGGAAAGAACUUCGGUCCAGGAUGAGCUCGCGGCCUAUCAGCUAGUUGGUGAGGUAACGGCUCACCAAGGCGACGACGGGUAGCCGGCCUGAGAGCGUGACCGGCCACACUGGGGCUGAGAGACGGCCCAGACUCCUACGGGAGGCAGCAGUGGGGAAUAUUGCACAAUGGGCGCAAGCCUGAUGCAGCAACGCCGCGUGAGGGACGACGGCCUUCGGGUUGUAAACCUCUUUUAGCAGGGAAGAAGCGAAAGUGACGGUACCUGCAGAAAAAGCACCGGCUAACUACGUGCCAGCAGCCGCGGUAAAAC
rnacentral:rRNA from 1 species